GUCGAACAAGAAAAACAUGGCGAAUGUGGGUUUUGUUAAGAGAAGAAAAUAGCUAUUUUGACGGCGAGGAACAAUAUUUGAUAAAGAUUAUGAUUGACUUACCCUGCUCCCUCAGUCCUCAGUCUCCCUCAAUAACUGUAUUUGCUGAGUAAACUACAUACCUGAUGAUUAGUAAUAAACUGCUGCUUGGGAUAUGAACAACACUUCUAUGGCAACAAGAGUCAAGAUGCAGUAUGGUAAUGAGGUUCAGAUGUCAGGUUUGGCAGCCAUCUUGUUACAGAUCACUGGACAGCCUUAUGGAGAGUUUCACGUAUUGACACACGUCGAACCGCGAAGGGAACAAGAUUGAAAUGAACACAAGUGACACCAAGGGCCUGGAUACUAGCACUUUACACAGGAAGCCCGCUAAAAAUUUGAUUUUUUGGCGAAAAUUAGACGGUUUUUGAGCAAUUUUUUUUUGCUCAAAACGUCAAAAAUGAUUAGAAAAGCCUAUCUUAGGACUCUACGGAGGAUAAAAACCCGAAAAAAGCUUGUUUUAGGGGGGAAAUCAUCAUUAUGUUAAUUAGUCACGUGACAAGUCACGUGACCUUUAAUUUUGCGUUUUUUGGGUGUGAUUUUUCAAUUUUCUGUGACGAAAUUUUUUUCGUGGGUUUGAAGCAAUUCUCUUUGUGUUUAGAUCAUUAGAUCAAGCAGUUAAUAAUAAAAGAACAUUGAACCUU